AGAGAAAGAAAAAAAUCAUGGCAGCAAAACUCACAAUCGGUGUUCUGCUGAUUGUGCUUGCGAUUGCAACUUGUGUUACAUGUGAAGAUGCAAUACUGAGCCAGGAUAUAAUCGAGGAUCCUAACAGUGAGUACUCGAAGUGUCUCCUUCUUUGGGGAUUGGACCAUGGACCAUUUUGCGAUCGAGCUAGACGAAAUAAGGAAUAACGGGAAGUGAGAUAAACGUGAUAAAAAGCUGUCCAUUCUUCUAGAUCAACGGGGAAAAUUCAUCGGAAAUUCGGUUAUAUUUAGUUAUUAAUUCACUGAUUAAUAUACGUCCAUAAGUUGGCAUAUUGUACGAAUGAUACACUAGUUCACGCAUAUGGCUCCAUGCAUGAUUCUCAACCCACUUAAACACGUAGGGCUUAUAUGAGUGUAAACUGGCGAUUGGGAGGGGUUUAGGGGCCAUAUGGACCCCUCUCCCACUCUUUCCCAUUUUUUAUUCAUGACACCAAUUUCCCACGUUAUUUCAGCUCUUAACUAAACCGUGUACGUGUCCCAGGAAACAGACCAUAACUGAUGUGUCAACCUGAAAAUAAGUGUCAUAUCAACAAGUUCAGUACCAGCUUUCCCCCUCAAACAAAAAAAAAUAAUAUCUUGUCGGUUUCUUCUCCUAAUUUUUGUAAUCAUCCAUGCGUAACAUAUCCAUUUAUAGCGUCUUUUAUGAAAGACCUGCAUCUAACUUUGAGUCAAUUAUCAAUCAUAAUUGUGAAUGGGUUUGUGAUUAAAACAAAUGUUCUCGGUUA